rnacentral:rRNA from 1 species
AGUGAACGCUGGCGGUAGGCCUAACACAUGCAAGUCGAACGGCAGCACAGUAAGAGCUUGCUCUUACGGGUGGCGAGUGGCGGACGGGUGAGGAAUACAUCGGAAUCUACUUUUUCGUGGGGGAUAACGUAGGGAAACUUACGCUAAUACCGCAUACGACCUACGGGUGAAAGCAGGGGAUCUUCGGACCUUGCGCGAUUGAAUGAGCCGAUGUCGGAUUAGCUAGUUGGCGGGGUAAAGGCCCACCAAGGCGACGAUCCGUAGCUGGUCUGAGAGGAUGUUCAGCCACACUGGGACUGAGACACGGUCCAGACUCCUAGGGGAGGCAGAAGUGGGGAAUAUUGGACACUGGGCGCAAGCCUGAUCCAGCCAUACCGCGUGGGUGAAGAAGGCCUUCGGGUUGUAAAGCCCUUUUGUUGGGAAAGAAAAGCAGCAGGUUAAUACCCCGCUGUUCUGACGGUACCCAAAGAAUAAGCACCGGCUAACUUCGUG